UACGUAGGGUGCAAGCGUUAAUCGGAAUUACUGGGCGUAAAGCGUGCGCAGGCGGUUUGGAAAGAAAGGUGUGAAAUCCCAGAGCUUAACUUUGGAACUGCACUUUUAACUGCCAAGCUAGAGUAUGUCAGAGGGGGGUAGAAUUCCACGUGUAGCAGUGAAAUGCGUAGAGAUGUGGAGGAAUACCAAUGGCGAAGGCAGCCCCCUGGGUCAAUACUGACGCUCAUGCACGAAAGCGUGGGGAGCAAACAGG
rnacentral:rRNA from 1 species